rnacentral:rRNA from 1 species
UACGUAGGGACCGAGCGUUGUCCGGAUUCAUUGGGCGUAAAGAGCUCGUAGGCGGCCACUCAAGUCGAAUGUGAAACCUCGAGGCUUAACCUCGAGCCUGCAUUUGAUACUGGGCGGCUAGAGUCUGGUAGGGGGAUCUGGAAUUCCUGGUGUAGCGGUGGAAUGCGCAGAUAUCAGGAGGAACACCGAUGGCGAAGGCAGGUCUCUGGGCCACUACUGACGCUGAGAAGCGAAAGCAUGGGGAGCGAACAGG